GAUUGGGCAGUUCCUUAAAGUUGAACCAUCCUGGCCAGCCAGUGCGUGGCCCACCUACCAAGAAAUGAGCUCAUCACUUGGACUACAUUUUAUGAGCACCUGUCCCCGAGGAGUCACGCUCUUCAAGGACAUUGUCAUGGUGACCUUCAGACUGGUAAUGUGCGUACAGGCCCUUGUGUCCCUGUGCUGUGUGCCUGGAGCUCAGGAGGGUCCCUGGCUGCCACCUGCAUCUCAGGCAUCCUCGUGUUGAUUUCAGGGGUGGAUUCCCAUCGACGUGAGUACGUAGAUGAUCGCGCAAAGAUGAUGAUCCUUCCUAAGAGAAGAAGGAACGUAGGAGCUCACUGUUCCCUGCCUCCGCAGAGUCACGCGGGUCACCGUAAAGCCGGCCAGCUGUCCUAUGUGACUCAGGAGGGCUCUCGCAGCCACCUGUAUCUUCUACACCUUCAGGAUGACUUUACGGUUUUGUUCUGGUGAAAACCUGUGAGAGAAGAUGAGGACGUUUCCUAUCAGAAGAAGAGAGUGCAGGAACAGUGUUGUCUCUGCGUCUUCAGAAUCAUCCAGGCUUUCUUUUGUAUGGAUUCCUUUUGCUUAAGAGAAGUUGGUAGGAACAUCUGGAGUUUUGAAGGACUGGGUUUCUAGCACAUCCUGUCACCCACUGUGUUCUGAGUCACUGCCAUCUGGGGACUUUCUAGUAUGAAAAACAGGGCACUUUAUCAUAUAGGUUACUUUUUAGCUCAUCAGAGAAAUUGCUGGAAACAAGUUCCUGAGUUCCUUCUCAGUAGGUAAGUUUGCAAGUAGAAAUCCACAUGUCCUAAUUAAAUUGGUUUUUGUACAUAUGUAUCUAAUAUUUGAUGAUAAAUUUGGUUUAGCUAUCAGUUUCCAACAGUGUUUUCACGUGUUGUCUCAAUACAAAGCGGGAGUAUAGAAUAACGAAAAGUUGAUUCACUUUUGGUUUGUUGUGAGUGCGUAACCACAGAAAUGAAUGAGGUACCUUGUCUCCCAAGUAGAUAAUUAUUCACCAAAUGAUACCGCUUUUAUAACUACUGUACUAAUAAAACUAUAACUGGUAGUAGUGUGAGUAAUUUUAUAAGUAAUGCUGAGAUGAAGUUCAGUUUAAACAGAAAAACUACAUGUUUAAAAUACACCUAUACGUACAUAUAUUAUUUUAAUUCUGUGUUUAUAAAAAUGGGAUGAUGCUAUCCACCUUCUAUUCAAUAUAACAUGGAUAUCUUCACUCAUAAAUUUAUUAAAGUUUUUUGUGAAUUCCUCCACUUUAUGCAGAAUGUGUGAUAUGAGGGCAAUGAAGUAAGGAUUUUAUUUUCCCUCUCAAGUAGGAAUUAACUAAACACUAUUGUAAGUUUCCAUUUACUUCCAGUUAACUCUGACUCUUUGAACCUAUUCCACACCAUUUAGUAAUGACAGCUUUAACCUAGACAAUGAAUUUUAAUAUCUUAUAUAUAUAUAUAUAUAUAUAUGUUUUUUUUAAUCUCCUUACAGUUUUCUUGAAUUACUUUUAUCGUUUUUCAAAAGUUUUCAUUGGGUUCUCUGUGUUGAUUAUAAUAUACUCUUUGGGUUUUUUAGUAUUGAUUUUCUGCAUUGAUUUUUUUUUUUUUGAGAAACACUGUUGUCUAGGCUAACUAGAAAAAAUCUGUAAAAUCAAAUAUUGAAGAAAAAGUAACAUUUUUACACAAACUAUCUUUUUAAGGAUUUUCUUUAGGCAUGUUUUAGAACUUGAGCUCUUUCACAUCACUGUCCAU